CAAUAGCGUAUAUUUAAGUUGCUGCAGUUAAAAAGCUCGUAGUUGGAUUUCGGGUGGGAAUGGCCGGUCCGCCGUUUCGGUGUGCACUUGCUACGCCCACCUUGCUGCCGGGGACGUGCUCUUGAGUUCACGCUCGGGACACGGAGUCGGCGAGGUUACUUUGAGUAAAUUAGAGUAUUCAAAGCAGGCCUACGCUCUGAAUACAUUAGCAUGGAAUAACACGAUAGGACUCUGGCCUAUCUUGUUGGUCUGUAGGACCGGAGUAAUGAUUAAGAGGGACAGUCGGGGGCAUUCGUAUUUCAUUGUCAGAGGUGAAAUUCUUGGAUUUAUGAAAGACGAACUACUGCGAAAGCAUCUGCCAAGGAUGUUUUCAUUAA
rnacentral:rRNA from 1 species